rnacentral:lncRNA from 1 species
GCAUGAUCAGAAGAAUGAAGAGCAAUGAGUUUCAAACAGAAGUGUGUGGAACUCAAUGAUGGCCACCUCAUGCCGGUACUGGGCUAUGGCACUUAUCAAAAUCCAGAGGUAAUAAAAAAUGAAAUGUUAAGGGUGGAGGGUCGCAAAAGAAAACUGACACAUGAUAUGUGGGAGGUGAACUCUCCCUUUUUAUCUAUAGUUCAUAGUUUCUGCUAACUGGGGCUACUCUAUGUUAAGAACAAAAAUAGGUAGAAGUUACCCUAACAGAGUCUAAUUAGGCCAUUGGUGAUAGAUUGAUAUGAUUGAAACUCCUGGUGUUUGAUUGUUCUGGGCACUCAUCUCCCAGUUUCAGUAUAUUUCCCAGCUUUCUUCUAAAUAUGAAAGCCUUUCCUCCACAAAGCUGCCCCACAGCUUCCUUGACUUGAUACUAAUAAAAUUGGGAGUUGUUUCUCAGUUUAUAUAUACAAUACAGGACAUACUUCUUCCUUGCUUGCAGUAAGAAUAAACACUAGAAAAUAGGUAUGACAGAAGUGGCAGGAAAUGAGAAGCAUAGAAUAGUAGGCAGAAGAGUACUUGUGUUCUCUGCAGGGACACCUCCAGCAAUUCCCAGUAACUGUUGAAAUUGAGAUAAGUAGAAUUUGCCACAUAAUACUAACAACUGUGAGGAUUUACAUGCAUGUAAAAUAUAAAAACUGGGAGAGCUCUGACUUUAUGGAAGAUUCUAUGAACUAUUGACUCCUGUAUUGAUAAAGAUGACACUAUAACAUGAUGUAAAGUGGAGAACUUAGUAGCCUAGAAGCAAGUCGAGAGUCCAUAAUCUUCCUUAGACUCUUCAACUGUGUGACAUUGGAAAGGUUAGCUGAAUUGUGCAUGCAUGUGUGUACCUCUUGCAUACCUGUGAAGAUUAUGACAAGACUUAGAUGUUUUGAAAUAACCAAAGUAGUAGGAAGGGCAAGAGAGAGCAAUGUGUCCUUCUAAAGUUUCAUCUUGAUGAAUCCCCUUCCUCCAAAGAAAGGCAGGCUGGUGUUGGGAGAGGAAUGUAAAAACCACUAUCCUUUCAUUGUAAUUUUAUUAAGGAAAGAAAGUUUUUUAAAUGAUUAAACUGCAUGUAUUGGAUUGUCUUCUGCUCUACCCUUAAGAAAUAAAUUCUCAAGCCAUGACCGAAACGUAAAAUAAUAAUAAUAAUAAUUUAAAAUGCUACUUUAGACAGAUAGAUGUCCGCAAAGAAUAAACUUGUGUUUUAAUUGAUGACAGAUAUAGCAGAAGCUUCUUACAUAAUGAUGGCAGGUCACAUUUUUAAAUGCAAAUCUAAAGGCUAUAAAUUUUCCCAACUGCUGUUUAUUUAGUGACACAGAGUAAAGUUCUGUUUUCCAAAGGUUUCAAGUAUCACAGCAGAACCAGUUCAAGGCCUCUUCCCAAUCUCACUAUUAGUGACAUCUCGAUUUUGUUUUCUACUUCGUAACUACUGGGAAUAUUAACUGUGUCUUGACUGCCUCUGCCAGCAGUGAAUAUGUGUAUUUGAUUUUCUUUGGACAAGUAGAAUCUGUGUUGUGCUUCCAUAGGGAUAAAGGUGAUGACUGUGAGACAUUUUAGGAUGUGAUUUAAGAGAUUUUCUGUUAGACAUUACUUAUGCAUUGUUACAUUUCAAAGCUGGUGGGAUGAAAGUUCUGUGUCUUCCCUGGGAAAAUUCUCAUAAAAAUACCUAGGAAUAAUCCUCAUAGAAACCUGUAAUACAUUACUCCCAUAUUCACUACAGCGAUAUUUCCACUCUGGUCAUUUUAUUCUUUCUCACUACUAAGUUGAUAGUGUAUGAAUGGGCAAGAUACCUCAGCAAUAAAUGUGAAGCCUGCAGGAUUAAAGACAGCUACUAAAAAUGUUUCCUUUGGCACCAAGCUGGCACCUGAUAUU